rnacentral:rRNA from 1 species
GAUGAACGCUGGCGGCGUGCCUAAUACAUGCAAGUCGAGCGAACGGACGAGAAGCUUGCUUCUCUGAUGUUAGCGGCGGACGGGUGAGUAACACGUGGAUAACCUACCUAUAAGACUGGGAUAACUUCGGGAAACCGGAGCUAAUACCGGAUAAUAUUUUGAACCGCAUGGUUCAAAAGUGAAAGACGGUCUUGCUGUCACUUAUAGAUGGAUCCGCGCUGCAUUAGCUAGUUGGUAAGGUAACGGCUUACCAAGGCAACGAUGCAUAGCCGACCUGAGAGGGUGAUCGGCCACACUGGAACUGAGACACGGUCCAGACUCCUACGGGAGGCAGCAGUAGGGAAUCUUCCGCAAUGGGCGAAAGCCUGACGGAGCAACGCCGCGUGAGUGAUGAAGGUCUUCGGAUCGUAAAACUCUGUUAUUAGGGAAGAACAUAUGUGUAAGUAACUGUGCACAUCUUGACGGUACCUAAUCAGAAAGCCACGGCUAACUACGUGCCAGCAGCCGCGGUAAUACGUAGGUGGCAAGCGUUAUCCGGAAUUAUUGGGCGUAAAGCGCGCGUAGGCGGUUUUUUAAGUCUGAUGUGAAAGCCCACGGCUCAACCGUGGAGGGUCAUUGGAAACUGGAAAACUUGAGUGCAGAAGAGGAAAGUGGAAUUCCAUGUGUAGCGGUGAAAUGCGCAGAGAUAUGGAGGGACACCAGUGGCGAAGGCGACUUUCUGGUCUGUAACUGACGCUGAUGUGCGAAAGCGUGGGAAUCAAACAGGAUUAGAUACCCUGGUAGUCCACGCCGUAAACGAUGAGUGCUAAGUGUUAGGGGGUUUCCGCCCCUUAGUGCUGCAGCUAACGCAUUAAGCACUCCGCCUGGGGAGUACGACCGCAAGGUUGAAACUCAAAGGAAUUGACGGGGACCCGCACAAGCGGUGGAGCAUGUGGUUUAAUUCGAAGCAACGCGAAGAACCUUACCAAAUCUUGACAUCCUUUGACAACUCUAGAGAUAGAGCUUUCCCCUUCGGGGGACAAAGUGACAGGUGGUGCAUGGUUGUCGUCAGCUCGUGUCGUGAGAUGUUGGGUUAAGUCCCGCAACGAGCGCAACCCUUAAGCUUAGUUGCCAUCAUUAAGUUGGGCACUCUAAGUUGACUGCCGGUGACAAACCGGAGGAAGGUGGGGAUGACGUCAAAUCAUCAUGCCCCUUAUGAUUUGGGCUACACACGUGCUACAAUGGACAAUACAAAGGGCAGCGAAACCGCGAGGUCAAGCAAAUCCCAUAAAGUUGUUCUCAGUUCGGAUUGUAGUCUGCAACUCGACUACAUGAAGCUGGAAUCGCUAGUAAUCGUAGAUCAGCAUGCUACGGUGAAUACGUUCCCGGGUCU